GACGAACGCUGGCGGCGUGCUUAACACAUGCAAGUCGAACGGAAAGGCCCUGCUUUUGUGGCGUGCUCGAGUGGCGAACGGGUGAGUAACACGUGAGUAACCUGCCCUCGACUUUGGGAUAACUUCAGGAAACUGGGGCCAAUACCGGAUAGGAGCUCCUGCUGCAUGGGGGGGGUUGGAAAGUUUCGGCGGUUGCGGAUGGACUCUUGGCUUAUCAGCUGGUUGGUGGGGGAGUGGCUUACCAGGGCUUUGACGGGUAGCCGGCCGGAGGGGGUGACCGGCCACAUUGGGGCUGCGGUACGGCCCAGCCUCCUACGGGGGGCAGCAGUGGGGAAUAUUGCACCAUGGGCGGAGGCCUGAUGAAGCAACGCCGCGUGCGGGAUGACGGCCUUCGGGUUGUAGACCGCUUUCGCCUGUGACGAAGCGUGAGUGACGGUAAUGGGUGAAGAAGCACCGGCUAACUACGUG
rnacentral:rRNA from 1 species